CGAGCACGUAGGUGGGUUUGUAAGUCAGAUGUGAAAGCCUUCUGUUCAACGGAAGAAUUGCAUCUGAAACUGCUAAUCUUGAGUAUAGGAGGGGAGAAUGGAACUUCUGGUGGAGCGGUGAAAUGCGUAGAUAUCAGAAGGAACGCCGGCGGCGAAAGCGAUUCUCUGGCCUAUUACUGACACUCAGUGUGCGAAAGCUAGGGGAGCAAACGGGAUAGAUACCCCGAGCUUGCCAGUU
rnacentral:rRNA from 1 species